AUUGAACGCUGGCGGCAUGCCUAACACAUGCAAGUCGAACGAGUGGCGGACGGGUGAGUAAUGUCUGGGAAACUGCCCGAUGGAGGGGGUUAACUACUGGAAACGGUAGCUAAUACCGCAUACCAUCGGAUGUGCCCAGCUGGGAUUAGGUAGUAGGUGGGGUAAAGGUUCACCUAGGCGACGAUCCCUAGCUGGUCUGAGAGGAUGACCAGCCAAGCUGGAACUGAGACACUGGCCAGACUGCUACGAGUGUGAGGAGUGGGGAAUAUUGAGCAAUGGGCGCAAGCCUGAUGAAGCCAUGCCGCGUGUAUGAAGAAGGCCUUCGGGUUGGAAGGUACUUUCAGCGGGGAGGCGUUACCCGCAGAAGAAGCACCGGCUAACUCCGUGCCAGCAGCCGCGGUAAUAC
rnacentral:rRNA from 1 species